rnacentral:tRNA from 1 species
GGAGAAGUAUCGAAGUGGUCAUAACGGCCUCGACUCGAAAUCGAGUAAGCCGGUUAAUAGCCGGCCCGAGGGUUCGAAUCCCUCCUUCUCCG